rnacentral:rRNA from 1 species
AUUGAACGCUGGCGGCAGGCCUAACACAUGCAAGUCGGACGAGCGGCGGACGGGCGAGUAAGGGAUGAAGAUCUGCCUGAUGGAGGGGGCUAACUACUGGAAAAGGUGGAUACUGCCGCAUAACGUCAGAUGAGCCCACAUGGGAUUAGCUUGUAGGUAAGGUAACGGCUUAACUAGGCGACGAUCCCUAGCUGGUCUGAGAGGAGGAUCCGCCACACUGGGACUGAGACACGGCCCAGACUCCUACGGGAGGCAGCAGUGGGGAAUAUUCCACAAUGGGCGCAAGCCUGACGCAGCCAUGCCGCGUGUAUGAAGAAGGUCUUCGGAUUGUAAAGCACUUUCAGUCGGGAGGCGGUACCGAAACAAGAAGCCCCGGCUAACUCCGUGCCAGCAGCCGCGGUAAUAC